GGUAUGUUGGAUCCCUGCUUGGGCAGCGACAGCCUACCCGUCCAGGCCCUUCAUUCUUGGUCCAAGAGCAUCGUUUGCCUUGGCCGCCAGACGGUUUCCUGUGUUGCAUACCUACCGUGACGGCAUUCUCUUUUUUUUUGUCCCAAUCGUCCCUCGUUCGCCUUGCGUUGGCCCGAAAGGGCUGGGCGCUGGGUGAAACUCAAGGCGACGGUCGUGUCCCGACCCACGCAUGCUGGGCAUGCCGUGGCAUCGGUCCACGCAGAGUCGCCCGGGCUCUCGGAUGCGGAAAGCAAGGUGGGUAGGGGGUCCUCGACUCUCGUUUACCCAAGAAAACAAGCGUUCAUCGCUAAUUAGCGAACGACUGUUGCGCCCGCUUCGAUCGACUCUUCUGGUGUUCCAGGAGAGUUUGGCUCGUGCGGUGCCGGCGUCGGGGUAGGAAUGCUACCUGGUUGAUCCUGCA
rnacentral:misc_RNA from 1 species